rnacentral:rRNA from 1 species
GAUGAACGCUGGCGGCGUGCCUAAUACAUGCAAGUCGAGCGAACGGACGGGAAGCUUGCUUCUCUGAUGUUAGCGGCGGACGGGUGAGUAGCACGUGGAUAACCUACCUAUAAGACUGGGAUAACUUCGGGAAACCGGAGCUAAUACCGGAUAAUAUUUUGAACCGCAUGGUUCAAAAGUGAAAGACGGUCUUGCUGUCACUUAUAGAUGGAUCCGCGCUGCAUUAGCUAGUUGGUAAGGUAACGGCUUACCAAGGCAACGAUGCAUAGCCGACCUGAGAGGGUGAUCGGCCACACUGGAACUGAGACACGGUCCAGACUCCUACGGGAGGCAGCAGUAGGGAAUCUUCCGCAAUGGGCGAAAGCCUGACGGAGCAACGCCGCGUGAGUGAUGAAGGUCUUCGGAUCGUAAAACUCUGUUAUUAGGGAAGAACAUAUGUGUAAGUAACUGUGCACAUCUUGACGGUACCUAAUCAGAAAGCCACGGCUAACUACGUG